rnacentral:tRNA from 1 species
UUGAUAGAAACCAAACUAGAGGUAUGUCACUGUUAAUGACAAAAUUGAAUUCUUUUCCUAUCAAG